rnacentral:lncRNA from 1 species
CUCUUGUGUACGGCAAAAAAAGAAUUGGAUUUGGCAUAAAAUGUCAAGGAUACAGUGGCAAAGUUUCUUAAAAGAAAAGCACUCCUCAAGUGGGCGGGCUCACACUGGUGAAAGAGAGAUGGCACCGAUGCUCCACCUGCCCUAAGAUUCCUCCAGGGGGGUCCUUGAGAGCAUGCGGAUAGCGUCGUUGACGGGGUGCUGAGUUGCGUCCUCUGCAUUUAUUUUGUACGUGCUUUCCCACACUUCCUCUGUUCCUCUGGAAUUCUAAGUAUUCCAGUUCCUCUGGAAUUCUAAGUAUCAGGAGCAAGCCAUACUCGUGAACUUUCCAUGAGCUUCAGGGGAAGAAAGUUUACUCUAGGUCAUGCACACAGCUUUAGUUCGUCUGUGUCUUUGGAAAUUUCAGAUUUUCCAGGGUAGACUUGGGGUCUUCUUUUUCCUCAUCCGACCAGCUUGUGGUCAUAUGAGAACAUGGACAAUCCAUACCCAAAUGCCAUAGGCUAAUCCCGCUUCAACUUUUAUGGCCAGAGACCUGGCUCCUAGUUAUAAAGUACCCUCGAAACAGCAAACUAUGGCAGCCCUUUUUGGAUUUUCUUCCUGAUUAUUGGAUGCUUUCUUUCUGUUUUCUUACACUUCAAAUAAACAUUCCUCUCACCUGCU